rnacentral:rRNA from 1 species
GACGAACCGUGCGAACGUUGUUCGGAAUCACUGGGCUUAAAGGGCGCGUAGGCGGCUUGCCAAGUCCGGGGUGAAAUCCUCCAGCUUAACUGGAGAAGUGCCCUGGAUACUGGCGAGCUCGAGCGAGGCAGGGGUUGUGGGAACUCCGGUGGAGCGGUGAAAUGCGUAGAUAUCAGGAGGAACACCUGCGGUGUAGACGGCUGGCUGGACCACGUACUGACGCUGAGGCACAAGCGUG